rnacentral:rRNA from 1 species
AGCUCCAAUAGCGUAUAUUAAAGUUGUUGCGGUUAAAAAGCUCGUAGUUGGAUUCCUGUAUGGAAGGGGCGUCCCCACCCUUUGGAUGGGGGUUGCUACCUUCUUUGCAUCUUCCGGAGUAGAUGUUCCUCACUUAACUGUGAGGACAUCGUGCUCGGGUCAUUUACUUUGAGGAAAAGAGAGUGCUCCAAGCAGGCAAACGCCUGAAUACGUUAGCAUGGAAUAAUAGCAUCGGAUCAUCGUUCAGCUGUUGGUGUCUGGACGAGGAUAAAGGUGAACAGGGAUUGUUGGGGGCAUUCGUAUUUAACUGUCAGAGGUGAAAUUCUUGGAUUUGUUGAAGACGAGCUACUGCGAAAGCAUUUGCCAAAGAUGUUCUCA